CAUGAUCCAGUAGCUUUCCCAAACCCCUCUCUGCCUCCUUCCCAUUUUAUCAGGCAUCAACCUUAAUCAAAUCUUGUCAUGGCAUUUGCCUCCUGAAGAACCUGGACUAACAAAUGAGACAUGCGGAGGGAGGAUGUGUGGCUGAUCUUUAAUAUCCCACCUCCAGUAUUUGCUAACCUCUUAAGUAAGAACAUACUUGGAAGAAAUGGAAUUUGGAUCUGAUAUUCAUGGCACAAAUCAUCUGGAGAUAAAGAAAAGGAAUCGCCACAAGGCCACAGAGAACUUCAAUGUUACCACCUAACCCUAACCAUCCACAGUUCUUCAAACCCAUCUGCUGUUGGAGAUCACUAUGAAGUAAAAUGUCCAGAAUGCUCCUCAUUCUCCAAGCAAUCUAAGUAGGGUGUUUUGGGAUUGCUCUGCAGAAAUGGCUCACCCCUGAAGAUAAGUCUGGACACACAAACUCCAUUCUUCCCAACAGAGGUUCAGAUUUAUUGAGCUCACAUAUCCAGAGCUUUCUUGACUAUUACAGUUCCACUGUAAAUGAAGCAAGAACUUGAGGUCUGGCCCAAGACAGUUUAUAACCUAAUCACUGACACCUUUUCAAGGUAACUUUGACUAUAUGGGCCGGGAAUACCAUUGUUAAUAGCCUAGAAUUUAGUCAAGAAGAAUAAGCCUUUUUUUUUUUGUACCGGGGAUCGAACUCCAGACCUUGCACUUGUGAGGCAGGCAGCAGAACCAAUGAGCUAAAUCCCCAGCCCAGAACAAGCCU
rnacentral:lncRNA from 1 species